rnacentral:rRNA from 1 species
AUGGCCAUUAGUGAAGCUGACCAAGUGGUUUGGACCUUGGGGAAGAAGAGUAGAUUUACUACGAAAUCUGUAUACGAAUACUUGGAGAGAAAUGUGGCGGGGGCAAACUACAAAUGGAUCUGGAAAGCAAAGACCCCCCUUAAGAUUCAAAUUUUUCUUUGGCAACUAUUCCAGGAUGCUAUCCUAACGAGAGAUGUAAUGAGUAGACGAAAGUGGCUGGGGAAUCCUACUUGUUCCUUCUGUGAUGGGAGAGAAACAUCCCAUCAUCUUUUCUUCACUUGUCCUGUGCCCAGAGUCCUCUAG